AGUUGCCGGGUGGGUCGUAAGGCAGCAGCACACAAUUGUCAUCACGUGAGGUCACAAUGGUUUCUGAUAGUUUCGACGAAGAGUGAUUAGAACAAGCGAAUGUUUUGAAUUUCUUGAGAAAUUCAAGCAUCUGCCGUGUUCUCCAAGUAAACUUGAAAUUUAAUAUAUUUCAUACAGUAAAACAUUUAUAUUAGAAUAACAGCAGAAUGACAGAAUAUUGGUUGAUAUCUGCACCAGGAGAUAAAACAUGUCAGCAAACAUGGGAAACCAUGAACGAUUUAACAUCAAAACAACAUUCUUUAUCAGUCAAUUACAAAUUUCACAUCCCGGAUCUAAAAGUCGGAACACUAGACCAGCUGGUUGGUCUUUCGGAUGAUUUAGGAAAACUUGAUACCUAUGUGGAACAAGUGACACGCAAAGUGGCAACAUAUCUGGGAGAAGUUCUAGAAGAUCAAAGGGACAAGCUCCAUGAAAAUCUUUUGGCUAACAAUAGUGAUCUACCAUCUUAUAUAACUCGAUUCCAGUGGGAUAUGGCAAAAUAUCCUAUUAAACAAUCAUUGAGAAACAUUGCUGAUAUAAUCAGCAAACAAGUUGGUCAAAUUGAUGCUGACCUUAAAACUAAAUCUACGACUUAUAACAAUCUAAAAGGCAGUUUACAAAAUCUUGAAAAGAAACAAACGGGAAGCUUAUUAACAAGAAAUUUGGCAGAUUUGGUGAAAAAAGAACAUUUCAUCUUGGAUAGCGAAUACUUAACUACUUUACUUGUCAUUGUGCCAAAAGCAAAUUUCCAUGAUUGGUACAGUGGAUAUGAAAAAUUAACAAAUAUGAUUGUACCACGUAGUACCCAGCUUAUUACACAAGAUGCUGAUUAUGGAUUAUUUACUGUUACUUUAUUCAAGAAAGUCAUUGAUGAAUUUAAAUUACAUGCUCGCGAGAAAAAAUUUAUUGUUCGUGAUUUUACAUAUAAUGAAGAAGAAUUAGCAGCAGGCAAAAAUGAGAUAACAAAAUUGGUAACCGACAAAAAGAAACAAUUUGGACCACUUGUACGUUGGUUGAAAGUUAAUUUCAGUGAAUGUUUUUGUGCAUGGAUUCAUGUGAAAGCUUUACGCGUAUUUGUAGAGUCCGUCUUGAGGUACGGCUUACCUGUAAAUUUUCAAGCAAUUCUAUUGCAUCCUCAUAAAAAAUGCGCAAGGCGAUUACGUGACGUUCUUAAUCAGCUUUACGCUCAUCUAGAUUCUUCUGCUACAUCUUCUACUCAAGGAAAUCAAGAUAGUGUGGAUAUACCAGGAUUAGGUUUCGGUCAAAAUGACUAUUUUCCUUAUGUGUAUUAUAAAAUCAACGUAGAUAUGGUCGACAAUAAGGUUUAAUCGGCAAAGAUGAAUUUAUUUCCCUAUAUUUUAAAUUUCUUCUCAUUUAAGUAUACAUACUUCUGUAACUCCAGGUACUUAAUGAAGGAGUAAAUAAAAAAUAUUUAUCAAAAAAAUGAUAUUUUUAUAGUGCAUCAAAAUGCCUGGAGAGAUGUAUGUAAUUUGAUAUUAGCUCAAUACAAACUGUGCAUAAUAGAUUGUACAAUCAUUUGUAUAAAUUCUAAAAAACAUGUUUGAAUGUAUAUUGAAAAUUUUAAUUUCUUUUUGAGCAGGCUACGUUUAAUUGAACAAAAAUAUUAGUACAAAUGAAAUUCAUAAUACGAUUGUUACAUCGGCUUUCUGUGUUAACAAAAUUGAAAAUAUCGAAAUUAUUAUUAUAAUUGUAAUAAGCAUGUAUUCCUUGCAAUGCGUAUAUGCAUUAAUUUAUUAAAAUUUUUGUUAAAUAUAGCACAACUUAUUUUACAUAAUACUAUAUUAAGAAAAGAAGUAAAUACCGUAUCAGAAUAAAAAUUCUGCGAUAUAAAACUGUAUUAUUUUAUGUAUUAUCUAUAAAGUUAAGAGAAUUGUGAAUAUUGAAAGGAAAAGUUCAUCUUGUUAUGAAAACAUGCAUCAUAAUGUGGAUCAAAAUGCUUUUACUAUGUUCAUCGAAACAAUCUUCAUAUUGCAUAUAUUAUAAACCAUACAACAAAAUAAGUGUUAUCUAAAUGUUGAAAGACGUAGGUUCCUUUUAUAAAACAUUAGAAACUGAUGUUUUAACAAUCGAGAGAAUACAGAUAUAUGCUAAUGUAUCAGUGUUACUAACUAGAAGUUAUAAAAUUGCAAAACAUUAGUUAAACGUUGAAGUAUUACUAUUAACAUUAUAUUUCAAGUUCGGAUAGUGUAUAAAUUAAAUUAUAAUAAAUUUAAACAAAGUAUUAUUGAUUUGAAGGCUGCACAAAAAUAAACAAUAACAGUAACAAAUCACCGCAACACAUUUCGAGUGAUCGAACAGAUUGUAUUAUAAAUGCCUUAUGUAUAGAAAAUAUACUAUAUGCAAUAUUAUUUUCAAUAUUGCUUGUAUCUAAUUCUCUUCAAAGUAAUAUUUUCGUUACAUGAGCAUAAAAAGAAACGUAUGUUUAAAUACUAUAAUCUGUAUAUAUAUUUUAAAAGCAAAAUGGGUUACAGGUAUGGUAAUACUGUUUUUAAUUUGUGCAACAUAUUUUAAUCCAUUAAAAAUAACCUACAUAGUUUAUAAAUCUUGUUUCAAUAAUGAGUUCGUGUUAUAAAACACACUUGUAUUCCAAAUGUAAAUUAUUAUAUAUUGUUGACGAUAUAAAUGUUAAUAAAAAGAAGAAGAAAAUCUGAUCGUCAUCGAUUAAAUUUUAUUAAAAAAGGAGACGGAAACAGGAAAGAGAAUAAAACAGUUGCCUAUGCGUUCUGCGUUGAAAAUAUUCCAUGUAUUAAAACUGUUAUAUGUAUCAUAAUAAUAAUUUUUAAAAUGUA
rnacentral:misc_RNA from 1 species